GAUAUCAGCUCCCGCUAAAGCAAAAGACGACUACAUGCGUAGACUACUGCGCAGGUGUAGAACGCGCGGCCGUCUGCAGGAGGUUUGCUGGAACGCGAUCCUGAGGUGAAAUUUCUUUAAGAGGUUUUAAAAACGUUCUACACUGUGGAGUACGGCUGCGAGUGAUGUUAGCAGGAUCCGCAUGCUGGAUAAGAACAGCAUUUGUGAGACGACAUCAACUCAUCAUCCGAGUGGACAAGAACACCAACAGAGGAAGCCAAGCCGCAAAAACAAUGAAAAAUUGUCAUGACUUUUUAUUUUAAAUAAAAGUUAUGUGAUAAUAAACA